GGCCUUUUGUAUUUAAUUUAAGGUCUGACCUGCCCAGUGAUAAAUUUAACGGCCGCGGUAUCUUGACCGUGCAAAGGUAGCAUAAUCAUUAGUCUUUUAAUAGGGGGCUGGAAUGAACGGUUUAACGAGGGACUAGCUGUCUCAUUUUAUUUGUUUUAAAAUUUAAUUUUUUAGUUAAAAAGCUAAAAUUUUAUUGGUAGACGAGAAGACCCUAUAGAUCUUCAUAUAAUUUUUUGUAUUUAUUUUUAUAUUAACAUAAUUAUAUUAAAAUUUUAUUUUGUUGGGGUGACAAAAAUAUACAUAUAACUUUUUUAUUUAUUUACCAUUGAUAUAUGAGUAUUAGAUCCAUUAUUAUUGAUUGUUAGAAUAAGUUACCUUAGGGAUAACAGCGUAAUCCUCCUCCAGAGUUCAUAUUUACAGGAGGGCUUGCGACCUCGAUGUUGGAUUAAGAUAAUAGUUAGGUGUAGCCGCUUAAUUUAUAGGUCUGUUCGACCUUUAAAUUCUU
rnacentral:rRNA from 1 species